GGAGGGGUAGUCUAGCGGUCUAAGACGGCGGUUUGCUAAACCGUUGCAGGGCCAAAACUCUGCCGUGGGUUCGAAUCCCACCCCCUCCG
rnacentral:tRNA from 1 species